UGAGGAAUAUUGGUCAAUGGGCGGAAGCCUGAACCAGCCAUCCCGCGUGAAGGAAGAAGGCCUUAUGGGUUGUAAACUUCUUUUCUGUUUGAAGAAUAAGCUCGUCGAGACAAGUGAUGCCGGUAGGACAGGAAUAAGCAUCGGCUAACUCCGUGCCAGCAGCCGCGGUAAUACGGAGGAUGCAAGCGUUAUCCGGAUUUAUUGGGUUUAAAGGGUGCGCAGGUGGUUUAAUAAGUCAGUGGUGAAAGUCUGCCGCUUAACGGUAGGAUUGCCAUUGAUACUGUUGGACUUGAAUAUGGAUGAGGUAGGCGGAAUGUGUAGUGUAGCGGUGAAAUGCUUAGAUAUUACACAGAACACCGAUCGCGAAGGCAGCUUACUAAUCCAUGAUUGACGCUGAGGCACGAAAGCGUGGGGAUCAAACAG
rnacentral:rRNA from 1 species